rnacentral:lncRNA from 1 species
CUAAAACUUGCCGCAACCCACAGCUUCAAAGGGUUCCUCGACUUCGCCCUCAGCUCAGCGUCAUCUGACAGGGGAAAAAGGGCACCAACCCGAGCAAUACCCAGCGCAACUCUUCCAACACACAUCACGCUCGCUUACGUUUUUCCAAGGCGUGCCUACGCGGAGACGUUCAGCCAUGUCCAUCCCAUCAAUGUCACGCUUUAUGCUGAAAGAAGGGAGGGUAUUACGUAUGUCUGUUCCUUGAAGACUGAAAAUCUUACAUAUUCCAGAGAAGGCAGUGAAGAAAUGACUUCCUGGAGAUCUUUUAUAAGCUUCUGUCUCAAACGCCUGCCUUGCUACCAUGCUUCGUCGCUUGUAUUCCUCUUUCUCUUUGAGGCACAAAGGAGGAAAGUCUGACCUUCUCCCACCUGUUUGAGUUUUUCCUUUGUGUGACAGGGUCCAAGAGACUAAUAGGAAGGCUGGAAUAGUUGGCUGAUGCAGUCAUCUCCCCUUACACGUUUUCUUCCCAGCAAGGUUCCCUUUUUGCCUGUUUUGUUUCUGUUGAGAUGAGUGGAGAGGCAAUACUGAAGCAUACCCGAGCUCACUGCAAUAUGGAAAUAUCUCACUCAAAGCCAAGAUGAAAUAUGUCCUGAGAAAGAAACAGUGGGCACAAAAUGUUCCGAAUAAGUAAGCCCAUUAAGAACUUCUAUUUAACCUUGGGUAUGUUCUUGGUUUUGGGUAUUAAAAUAUUCAUGAGCUCUCCACUAAUGAAAAUUUAGAGAAGAAAAGAAAAAAAAAGUCAAGUGGCCUUAGGCAGGAAAAUCUGCAGCCUUGCAGGAAAGAAGCUGGCAAUUUAUUAAUGGUGCACAGAUUAUCAAACAGUAAAACUGAUGCAGAAAGAAAAUGCAGAAUUAUUGUUCGAAUCUGCCAUCCACAAAUCCUGCUGAUUUACACAGUGGUCAGAGUGAAGCCAAAAGAGGUCAUGAAAAUGUUAAUAUAUGCAAACAGAAACCUUCUGCAUCUUUACUGACAAAGCACUCAGGAUAGGAAGGGGAAUAGGCACAUGGUCAGGUCUUGGAAAGCGCAUGUGCGUUUUGCUGUAACAUCUUACAAGAAGAAAAUCCUUUGAUUGGAGCUUUGCAGAAACGGAAACAUUUUC